UGGGGAAUCUUCCGCAAUGGACGAAAGUCUGACGGAGCAACGCCGCGUGAGUGAAGACGGCCUUCGGGUUGUAAAGCUCUGUUAUUCGGGAAGAACGAUUCGUUUGUGAACAAUGAACGGAAGUGACGGUACCGAAAGAGAAAGCCACGGCUAACUACGUGCCAGCAGCCGCGGUAAUACGUAGGUGGCUAGCGUUGUCCGGAAUUAUUGGGCGUAAAGAGCGCGUAGGCGGUAUGGUACGUCUGUCUUAGAAGGGCGGGGCUUAACCCCGUGAGGGGACAGAGACUGUCAUACUGGAGUCUCGGAGAGGAAAGCGGAAUUCCUAGUGUAGCGGUGAAAUGCGUAGAGAUUAGGAAGAACACCGGUGGCGAAGGCGGCUUUCUGGACGAGCACUGACGCUGAGGCGCGAAAGCGUGGGGAGCGAACAGG
rnacentral:rRNA from 1 species